rnacentral:rRNA from 1 species
CCUACGGGUGGCUGCAGUGGGGAAUAUUGGACAAUGGGCGAAAGCCUGAUCCAGCCAUGCCGCGUGUGUGAAGAAGGCCUUCGGGUUGUAAAGCACUUUCAGUGGGGAAGAAAGCCUUGGGGCUAAUACCCUCGAGGAAGGACAUCACCCACAGAAGAAGCACCGGCUAACUCCGUGCCAGCAGCCGCGGUAAUACGGAGGGUGCGAGCGUUAAUCGGAAUUACUGGGCGUAAAGCGCGCGUAGGCGGUCUGAUAAGCAGGUUGUGAAAGCCCCGGGCUCAACCUGGGAACGGCAUCCGGAACUGUCAGGCUAGAGUGCAGGAGAGGAAGGUAGAAUUCCCGGUGUAGCGGUGAAAUGCGUAGAGAUCGGGAGGAAUACCAGUGGCGAAGGCGGCCUUCUGGACUGACACUGACGCUGAGGUGCGAAAGCGUGGGUAGCAAACAGGAUUAGAUACCCGGGUAGUC